UACGUAGGGGGCUAGCGUUGUCCGGAAUCAUUGGGCGUAAAGCGCGUGUAGGCGGUUCGGUAAGUCCGCUGUGAAAGUCGGGGGCUCAACCCUCGGAAGCCGGUGGAUACUGUCGGGCUAGAGUACGGAAGAGGCGAGUGGAAUUCCUGGUGUAGCGGUGAAAUGCGCAGAUAUCUGGAGGAACACCGGUGGCGAAGGCGGCAUCCUGGACCGGCAUUGACGCUGAGGCGCGAAAGCCAGGGGAGCAAACGGG
rnacentral:rRNA from 1 species